CAAAUCCUCCACUGUAUAUCUCGCGUAUGGAGCAGACAGAAGCACACACAAAUCUGGAUGAAUUGCACCUCCUGGGACAGGCUAAGGUGCAGCGGCUGGAGGAGGAGGAGGUGGCACAUAUGAGGUGCAGGAGGAGGAGGACUCCAAAAAACUCUCUGGGAUGUCUGAGAGUCCGGAACUGCCUCGGAAGAUAAUGGACGGAAGAAGAUGUACCGAUACCAUCAUGAAACAUCUGAGAGUAAUUUGGUGCUGCUGGCUUUCUUCUAGGACCCAUCUAAAUUUUAUAAAAAAUUACAGUUAGUUUUAUAAAUAACGACAUAGUUAAAAAAUAUUAUUCUGAUACCUAACUUAUUACCUAUACUAACCACUUAAACUAAUUACCUAU
rnacentral:lncRNA from 1 species